rnacentral:rRNA from 1 species
UGAACGCGAAGAACCUUACCAGCCCUUGACAUGUCCAGGACCGGUCGCAGAGACGUGUCCUUCUCUUCGGAGCCUGGAGCACAGGUGCUGCAUGGCUGUCGUCAGCUCGUGUCGUGAGAUGUUGGGUUAAGUCCCGCAACGAGCGCAACCCCCGUCCUUAGUUGCUACCAUUUAGUUGAGCACUCUAAGGAGACUGCCGGUGAUAAGCCGCGAGGAAGGUGGGGAUGACGUCAAGUCCUCAUGGCCCUUACGGGCUGGGCUACACACGUGCUACAAUGGCGGUGACAAUGGGAAGCGAAGACGCAAGUCCUAGCAAAUCUCAAAAAGCCGUCUCAGUUCGGAUUGGGCUCUGCAACUCGAGCCCAUGAAGUUGGAAUCGCUAGUAAUCGUGGAUCAGCACGCCACGGUGAAUACGUUCCCGGGUCUUGUACACACGCA